AUAAGUAUAUAUUUUUUUUUGUUGAAUAAAAAUUAUUCAUAUGUUUAUAGAGAUUAAAUGUUAAACGAUUUUAAUAUAUCUAGUUUUUUUAGAAAAAAAUUUAAUUUUAUUUUUUUAUAUUAUUUAAUUUUAUGGUAAAUUGAAUAAUAAAAAAUUUUUAUUUUUUAAGGGAUGAGCUUUAAAGAAGAUUAUAUAUAAUUAAGUAGUAAGUUUUAGUAAGUAGAAUUAUGAGUUUUUAUCUUUAUUAGUGUUUUAUAACUAAUUAAAAAUUUAAUAAAAUUUAUAUUAAAUUUAUUUAUUUUAUAGAAAAUAAAGUUAUAAUAAAAAUAAUUUUUUUAUAAUGAUAAAAUUAGUAUAAUUUAAAUGUUUAAAUAUUAAGUAUUAUUAAGGUUAAUUAAAGGAAUUCGGCAAAUAAAUUUUUCACCUGUUUAUUAAAAACAUGGCCUCUUGAUUAUAAUUUUAGGUCUGACCUGCCCAAUGAGUAUUUAAAUGGCCGCGGUAUUUUGACCGUGCAAAGGUAGCAUAAUCAUUAGUUUUUUAAUUGAAAGCUUGAAUGAAAGGUUGGAUGAAAAAGUUACUGUCUCUAAUUAAAUUUUUUAGAAUUUUAUUUUUAAGUAAAAAAGCUUAAAUAAAUAUUGAAGACGAGAAGACCCUAUAGAGUUUUAUAUUUUUAAUUUAUAGGGCUUUAGUAUUAUAAUUUUAUAAAAGAUAAAAUAUUUAGUUGGGGUGAUUGAAAAAUUAAAAUAACUUUUUUUGUAUUAAAACAUUAAUUUAUGGGUUAUUGAUCCUUAAUUAGAGAUUAUAAGAUAAAAUUACCUUAGGGAUAACAGCGUAAUUUUUUUUGAGAGUUCAUAUCGAAAGAAAAGAUUGCGACCUCGAUGUUGGAUUAAAGUUUAUUUUUGGUGUAGAAGCUAAAAUAUUAGGUCUGUUC
rnacentral:rRNA from 1 species